rnacentral:rRNA from 1 species
UCAAGUCGAGGGGUAGAACACUUCGGUGUUUGAGACCGGCGCACGGGUGCGUAACGCGUAUGCAAUCUACCUUGUACAGGGGAAUAGCCCAGAGAAAUUUGGAUUAAUGCCCCAUAGUAUAUAACCUUCGCAUGUUGGUUAUAUUAAAGUUCCAACGGUACAAGAUGAGCAUGCGUCCCAUUAGUUAGUUGGUAAGGUAACGGCUUACCAAGACGAUGAUGGGUAGGGGUCCUGAGAGGGAGAUCCCCCACACUGGUACUGAGACACGGACCAGACUCCUACGGGAGGCAGCAGUGAGGAAUAUUGGUCAAUGGUCGCAAGACUGAACCAGCCAUGCCGCGUGCAGGAAGACGGUCCUAUGGAUUGUAAACUGCUUUUAUACAGGAAGAAACCCUCCCACGUGUGGGAGCUUGACGGUACUGUAGGAAUA